rnacentral:rRNA from 1 species
GACGAACGCUGGCGGCGUGCUUCAUACACGCAAGUCGAACGAGAACCGAUAGCUUGCUAUCGGGGAAAGUGGCGGACGGGUGAGUAAUAUGUAGAGAAUCUGCCCUUGAGUGGGGGACAACAGAGGGAAACUUCUGCUAAUACCGCAUAAGCCCACGGCCCGGCAUCGGGCUGAGGGAAAAGGAUUUAUUCGCUUCAGGAUGGACUCGCGUCCAAUUAGCUAGUUGGUGAGGUAACGGCCCACCAAGGCGACGAUUGGUAGCCGGACUGAGAGGUUGAACGGCCACAUUGGGACUGAGACACGGCCCAG